rnacentral:rRNA from 1 species
GUGAGUCAUCGAAUCUUUGAACGCACCUUGCGCUCCUUGGUAUUCCGAGGAGCAUGCCUGUUUGAGUGUCUUGAAGUCAUCAACCCCUCCCGUUUUUCGAGACGGUGGACGGUUGGAGCUGGGGGCAUGCGACCGAGAGGUCGCUCCCCUCAAAUGCAUCGGUUUGGGCCUGUGGGUUCGAACUCGAUUGGGCGUUGUACCAUCCUCGCUCUCUACAACGAGUUCGUCCCGCUGCUUGUGCCCCUCCAUCGACCGCCUGCGGAGUGGCGGUCAAAAGCAAACUUUUUGAAAUCUGACCUCUAAAUCAGGUAAGGCUCCCACUGAACUUA